rnacentral:rRNA from 1 species
UAGGGAAUCUUCGGCAAUGGGGGUAACCCUGACCGAGCAACGCCGCGUGAGUGAAGAAGGUUUUCGGAUCGUAAAGCUCUGUUGUUAAGGAAGAACGAGUGUGAGAAUGGAAAGUUCAUGCUGUGACGGUACUUAACCAGAAAGGGACGGCUAACUACGUGCCAGCAGCCGCGGUAAUACGUAGGUCCCGAGCGUUGUCCGGAUUUAUUUGGCGUAAAGCGUGCGCAGGCGGUUAGAAAAGUCUGAAGUGAAAGGCAGUGGCUCAACCAUUGUAGGCUUUGGAAACUGUUUAACUGGAGUGCAGAAGGGGAGAGUGGAAUUCCAUGUGUAGCGGUGAAAUGCGUAGAUAUAUGGAGGAACACCGGUGGCGAAAGCGGCUCUCUGGUCUGUAACUGACGCUGAGGCUCGAAAGCGUGGGGAGCGAACAGG